rnacentral:RNase_P_RNA from 2 species
GAGGCAGGUCGGGCAAUCGCGGUGUCUUCAGACAUCGAGGAAGGUCCGGACUCCACAGGGCAGGGUAGCGGCUAACGGCCGUCCGGCAAGGGCAUGUGCAUUGUGCAUGACCAAGCCGAGGACUAGGGCCACAGAGACGAGUCUGCCGCGAGGGCAUGUAUAGCAUGCAUCGACACGGCCAUCUCCGUGUUGUGCAGCCGGCUUGCCGGUUGCGUCGCGGCAGGGUGAAACGCGGCAACCUCUACCCGGAGCAACAUCAAAUAGGCAUGCGCAGGCUUAGGCCCGAAGGGCGGCUCGCCCCAGCAUGCGGGUAGAUGGCUAGAGUGACGCAGCAAUGCGCCACCCAGAGGAAUGAUUGCCCGCCGGGUUUGCUCGGCGUACAGAAUCCGGCCUACAGACCUGUCUCACCU